GAGAGGCUGUAGCUCAGAGGUAGAGUAUAUGCUUUGCAGGCAUGAGAUCCCAGCUCAAUCUCUGGUCCCUUCA